rnacentral:lncRNA from 1 species
CUUCUUCCUUUCGCGUAAUAGCGGGUUUUGAGUAUGUCUCCGGCGAAGCUUAUGGCUUUUCUUGGUGGUGGUAAUGGAGGACAAGGAUGGUUGUUCCAGCAUUGCAGCGUUAGGGGAGGUUAGCCGUGCUUUUGGUUUGUAAAGGAUACUUCUUAAUGGCAAAUCCUUUUUAUUUACCAAUUAGCUUAAUGUUUCUGGAUGGUGUUGGCUUUGAUUUAGUAAUGAAAAUGGUGGUUAUGUAGAUGUUAUUAUAAUAUGUAUGUUAUAAGCAAUGAAUACAGAUGUAUUUCAGUUUAAGAAUGUUUGUAACAUGUGAUGUGUUACUAACCUGAUGGUUUGCCUAUAAUUGGUCUUUCUCCUUAUCCUUGGAAUCACAAUAUUAUCACCUUCUCUCCUU